CCCUGGCCCACUGCGCAGACACAAACGUCCAUUCUCCACAGGGGCUGCGAAGCUCCCCGCUGGAGGGGAGAGCUGCAGGGGGAGAGGCCAGGGCUGCUACAAAGACCUGAUUGUGUGCUGGGGCCCGGAGCGCGCAGGGCCUGGGCAGCCGUGGCAGAGCCAACCUGAGCCGGCGGGGCAGCUGUGAGGGGCAGGGGCAGACUGAGGCCCACAGGAGAGGGGUGAAGGGGCCAGGCGGGCUUGGAGGCCGUGGAGGGGCCUGCCCCCUCUCACUGGGCACCCUGUUCUGCAGCCCACCAGGAUUAGGGGCGUUCUGGAGGAAACGGGUGCAGCCUGGCCCUUUGGGGACAAGGAAUCCUCCGUAUGGGGGCCGGGGGGUGGGGCAGCCAGCCUCACUCACCUUUGAAGGCUGAGAGCUUUUCUGGCAGGUCCUCUUCAUCGCUGUAUUUCUGGUCACAGAGAAACUCCUACAGAGGCGAGAGGGCAGAGCUGAGCAAGGGGGCGGCAGGCAGGACUGGCCCGUAGGAGGCCCAGUGCCCCGGCCUCCUCUCCCGCCAGGCCAGACGUGCACGUGCGAGUCCAGCCCCCGCGGAAGAAGUGGGCUCAGAAGCUGGGCGGGGCCUGGAGGGUCUGCUCCAGAAGAUGGAACACCUUCAACCACACGGGAUCAUCGGCGCAGGGACCUGCCUCCCCCAGGGGACGCCGCUGUGGGGUCCCGGAAGCAGUGAGCCCGAAGACGAGCCGCCUGGUUCCACAGUAACUGCUCAGCUUUGGAGGGACCGCAGUGUACACUGUGUGCCAGGCAGCAAGGGAGCAGGUGAGACCAAGGUCGAUGCUCAACCACAGCCACGCUUGCUGGGCAACUCCACAUUUCUACACGGCUUUCUCCCUCGCCUCCUUCAAGCCUUUGCUCAACUGUCACCUUCUGAAUGAGGCCGGCCCGUCCACCCCACUGCAGCCCCUGCCUCCACUUCCAACCACCUUACCUUCCGGGGCGUCUCCUUCUAUUCCAUGGGAUGAAUCCCCUCCUAACACAAUGUAAUUGCUUAUUAAAGGUAUUGUCCAUCGUGUCUCCCCCUGU